rnacentral:rRNA from 1 species
GCGGACAGUGUCUGGUGGGUAGUUUGACUGGGGCGGUCUCCUCCUAAAGAGUAACGGAGGAGCACGAAGGUUGGCUAAUCCUGGUCGGACAUCAGGAGGUUAGUGCAAUGGCAUAAGCCAGCUUGACUGCGAGCGUGACGGCGCGAGCAGGUGCGAAAGCAGGUCAUAGUGAUCCGGUGGUUCUGAAUGGAAGGGCCAUCGCUCAACGGAUAAAAGGUACUCCGGGGAUAACAGGCUGAUACCGCCCAAGAGUUCAUAUCGACGGCGGUGUUUGGCACCUCGAUGUCGGCUCAUCACAUCCUGGGGCUGAAGUAGGUCCCAAGGGUAUGGCUGUUCGCCAUUUAAAGUGGUACGCGAGCUGGGUUUAGAACGUCGUGAGACAGUUCGGUCCCUAUCUGCCGUGGGCGCUGGAGAACUGAGGGGGGCUGCUCCUAGUACGAGAGGACCGGAGUGGACGCAUCACUGGUGUUCGGGUUGUCAUGCCAAUGGCACUGCCCGGUAGCUAAAUGCGGAAGAGAUAAGUGCUGAAAGCAUCUAAGCACGAAACUUGCCCCGAGAUGAGUUCUCCCUGACUCCUUGAGAGUCCUGAAGGAACGUUGAAGACGACGACGUUGAUAGGCCGGGUGUGUAAGCGCAGCGAUGCGUUGAGCUAACCGGUACUAAUGAACCGUGAGGCUUAACCUUACAACGCCGAAG